rnacentral:rRNA from 1 species
AAAAGGACGCGGUAACCUUGACUGUGAUAAUGUAGCAUAAUCACUCGCCAUUUAAUUGAUGGAUAGUAUGAAUGGUUUAACGAAUAUUACACUAUCUAAAAAGUAGAUCUCAUGAAAAUGAAAUAAUAGUAAAGAUGCUAUUUAAGAUUGUAAGACGAAAAGACCCUAUAGAGCUUAACUACAUUCUUUUUAAAUAAAAUAGAAAUAUUCUUAAAAAAAGAAAGAAAGGUAGUUUAGUUGGGGCGACUAUUUUCUAAAAAUAACGAAAAUAAGCAAAAUUAAUAAAAUAAUUUAUUGUAUAAAAAACAUAUUUAACAAUUACUAAAGUAGGCUAUAAUGACCCGUUAAAUUUUAAUAAUAAAGAUAACGAUUAAUGAAUAAAAGCUACCUUAGGGAUAACAGGAUAAUUUUAUCUUAGAGUUCCUAUCGAAGAUAAAGUUUGUCACCUCUAUGUUGAAUUAAGAUA